GAUGAUUGGGGUGAAGUCGUAACAAGGUAGCCGUAUCGGAAGGUGCGGCUGGAUCACCUCCUUUCUAAGGAA
rnacentral:rRNA from 3 species